rnacentral:rRNA from 1 species
GCCUUAGUAGCGGCGAGUGAAGCGGCAAAAGCUCAAAUUUGAAAUCUGGCACCUUCGGUGUCCGAGUUGUAAUUUGAAGAUUGUAACCUUGGGGUUGGCUCUUGUCUAUGUUUCUUGGAACAGGACGUCACAGAGGGUGAGAAUCCCGUGCGAUGAGAUGCCCAAUCCUAUGUAAGGUGCUUUCGAAGAGUCGAGUUGUUUGGGAAUGCAGCUCUAAGUGGGUGGUAAAUUCCAUCUAAAGCUAAAUAUUGGCGAGAGACCGAUAGCGAACAAGUACAGUGAUGGAAAGAUGAAAAGAACUUUGAAAAGAGAGUGAAAAAGUACGUGAAAUUGUUGAAAGGGAAGGGUUUGAGAUCAGACUCGAUAUUUUGUGAGCCUUGCCUUCGUGGCGGGGUGACCCGCAGCUUAUCGGGCCAGCAUCGGUUUGGGCGGUAGGAUAAUGGCGUAGGAAUGUGACUUUGCUUCGGUGAAGUGUUAUAGCCUGCGUUGAUGCUGCCUGCCUAGACCGAGGACUGCG